rnacentral:rRNA from 1 species
UACGUAGGGGGCUAGCGUUGUCCGGAAUCAUUGGGCGUAAAGCGCGUGUAGGCGGUUCGGUAAGUCCGCUGUGAAAGUCGGGGGCUCAACCCUCGGAUGCCGGUGGAUACUGUCGAGCUUGAGUACGGAAGAGGCGAGUGGAAUUCCUGGUGUAGCGGUGAAAUGCGCAGAUAUCAGGAGGAACACCAAUUGCGAAGGCAGCUCGCUGGGACGUUACUGACGCUGAGACGCGAAAGCGUGGGGAGCGAACAGG